AAUUCAUGGUGUGGACAUUUUUGAAUUAGCAUUUUGAAAGGUUCCCAUGUCUCAUAGAAACUUUCUCCCUCUAUCUGUCUAAAGACAGCAAUCUCUCUUCUUAGUU
rfam:Gossypium raimondii chromosome 9, whole genome shotgun sequence.